UCUUGGUUCAGGAUGAACGCUGGCGGCGUGCCUAACACAUGCAAGUCGAGCGAUCUCUCGGAGAAGAGCGGCGGACGGGUGAGUAACGCGUGGGUAACCUGCCUCAUACACAUGGAUAACAUACCGAAAGGUAUGCUAAUACAGGAUAAUAUAAGAGAUUCACAUGGAUUUCUUAUCAAAGCUCCGGCGGUAUGAGAUGGACCCGCGUCUGAUUAGCUAGUUGGUAAGGUAACGGCUUACCAAGGCGACGAUCAGUAGCCGACCUGAGAGGGUGAUCGGCCACAUUGGAACUGAGACACGGUCCAAACUCCUACGGGAGGCAGCAGUGGGGAAUAUUGCACAAUGGGCGAAAGCCUGAUGCAGCAACGCCGCGUGAGUGAUGAAGGCCUUCGGGUCGUAAAACUCUGUCCUCAAGGAAGAUAAUGACGGUACUUGAGGAGGAAGCCCCGGCUAACUACGUGCCAGCCGCCGC
rnacentral:rRNA from 1 species